rnacentral:rRNA from 1 species
UACAGAGGUCUCAAGCGUUGUUCGGAUUCAUUGGGCGUAAAGGGUGCGUAGGCGGCGCGGUAAGUCGGGUGUGAAAUCUCGGGGCUUAACUCCAGGUCUGCAUUCGAUACGGGCAGGCUAGAGUUCGGUAGGGGAGACUGGAAUUCCUGGUGUAGCGGUGAAAUGCGCAGAUAUCAGGAGGAACACCGAUGGCGAAGGCAGGUCUCUGGGCCAAUACUGACGCUGAGGAGCGAAAGCGUGGGGAGCGAACAGG